CGCGGUUCCGAAUAGAUAGCAGGAGAGCCGACGAAUUCAUUUCAUCCACAGCUCUUGGCGAGAGAAGAAGUUUGGCUGCCCAAGCUCCGAUUAUUCUGACGCAUGAUUAUUUGAUACACAGUGCAGUGAAGUUGGUGUGAAAUUUGUGUAGUGGAACUGAAAAAUCAUCUAAAUUAAGGAUUAAAUUGUGCUGAUUGGUUCCAAUUCAACCACUUCAGGAUGUGGCUGAAAACGUUGAGUGCUACUGCAGUGCGACUUGAGGCUCAAAAGCACAGCUCGUUGCAGAAAUUAUGCAGAACAUUCUCGACCCAGCUGAGUGAACCAAGUGGACCAUCUGUCAAAACUGCCAUCCCUGGGCCGAAAUCGAAGGAUCUGUUGAAGCAACUGAAUUCCCUGCAGGUAUGUAGAAAUAAUU